rnacentral:rRNA from 1 species
CAGCCGUAAACUAUGCUCGCUAGGUGUCAGGCAUGGCGCGACCGUGUCUGGUGCCGCAGGGAAGCCGUGAAGCGAGCCACCUGGGAAGUACGGCCGCAAGGCUGAACUUAAGGAUUGGCGGGGGAGCACAACAACGGGUGGAGCCUGCGGUUUAAUGGACUCAACGCCGGACAACUCACCGGGGACGACAGCAAUAUGUAGGCCAGGCUGAGACCUUGCCUGAAUCGCUGAGAGGAGGUGCAUGGCGUAGACGUCU